rnacentral:rRNA from 1 species
UACGUAGGUGGCAAGCGUUGUCCGGAUUUACUGGGCGUAAAGAGCGCGCAGGCGGUCGUUCAAGUCGCGUGUGAAAGCCCCCGGCUCAACCGGGGAGGGUCACGCGAUACUGAUCGACUCGAAGGCAGGAGAGGGUAGUGGAAUUCCCGGUGUAGUGGUGAAAUGCGUAGAGAUCGGAAAGAACACCAACGGCGAAAGCACUCUGCUGGGCCGACACUGACACUGAGAGACGAAAGCGUGGGUAGCGAAUGGG